rnacentral:lncRNA from 10 species
GAACUGGGGGGUUAACCCAAAAAGAUCAAGUGCGAGCUCAAGGCGGAUGAUGAGAACAGAUUCGGGGCUGGUUAACCUCAGAGAGCGGGAGUCCGUUGGUGCUAAUGAGGCCAAGGGAGCCCGGCUCCUUUCUGCCCCCAGGCAGGUGAGAAAGAAAGAACGGAGACGAAAGAGGGCCCGCUGUGUCUACUCCUCUUGGCCCAGAAGCCCAGCUGGACCCUGAGGCCACAAACUGCCCCCUACUGGAGAAAUCGCUGCAGGAUUUCUCCUCCAUCAAAUCGCUGUGUCAGAGCCAGUUGGGGGCUUUUAAAAGACGCCCACGCUCAGGCCCGCACCAGGCCACCUACACUGGAAUAUCUGAGGCUAAGUCCCAAGCUAGAAUUUCCCAUCUUCUUUCUGGCCUUGGGAGAUUUUGCAUCUCCUUCCAGGGAAGGAAGCCUGACUUCUGAAAUGAUUCUCACGAAGGAGAAGUGCUCCGUUCUGCAGUGAGCCUGGCCAGGGGGGCCACACCACAGACUCCCAGGAGGCUUCUGCUCUGCGUGGUUCUUCUGCUCUCGUUUCCUUAACGAUUGGGCCAGAGCAUCUCUGCUCUUGUAAAAUAGCAGGCAAUUAGAUCUCGAAGUCUUUGAAGUGGGCAGAUUCACCAGGCGUUGGACUGAAGUUUCUAUUUGUCCUGGCACUGAGAAUAGCAAAGGAACAGGGGGACUGAACUGGUAAGGAUAUAGCAGGUUUGUUGCACUUUUAAAAAAUAUGUUUUCAAUUACCUUAAGAACCCAUUUAUGUGCAGUAUAUCCUGCUGCUGAUUUUGAACAAGGAUGAUCCAAUAGGCACUGGUAUUAAAACGCUGAAAUAGAGGUUGACAAGUAGCUGCUUCCCUAAAUCCUUGGAGUUUCCUUCCUCCCUCCUUCCCCUCCUUUGGCACCAACCCCCUUCCCACCUCCCCAAGAUCCAGCAACUAAAAGGUUAUUUGCUUGGCACGGCAGGGAGUAGGGGCUGUGCUGAAUGGUGGGAACCCACGCUACAUGGGUUGUCAGCUGUGUCACCCCUAAUUAGACAUCAUUUCAAUCUACUCAUGAAAGCAGCUUGCUGCAGGACUCUGUGCUGGCCAUAUUUAAUUAGAGCAGUAUAAGGUUUUUUUUUUUUAAGUUAAAAACUCAUAUUGUAUUGCCCAUGUACCAGAGACUAUUCUAAGAACUUUACAAACAUUAACUCAUUUGAUCCUUAUAACGACCCUAUGAUAUUGGUGGUGUGAUAUCCUCCCGUUUUCUAGGUAUGGAAAGAGGCAUAGAGAGGUGAAGUCUCUUGCUGAUAUCUUCUAGACCGGGCUGGCUGCAGGGUCUGUUGCUCUCAACCAGAGGAAAUAGAACCAUGAAAGAACAAGGGAGCCAGUUGCCAUGUCAUGGGGAGGACACUCAGGCAGCCCCGUGGGGAGACUCAUGUGAGGAGGAACUGAGAUGUCUUGCCAACAUCCAUAUGAGGGAGCCAUCUUGUAAAUGAAUCUUCCAGUCCCAAUCAAGUCUUCAGAUGACCAGAGCCUCAGCUGAUAACUUGGCUGCAGCCUCAUGAGAGAUCCUGAGCCAGAACCACUCAGCCAAGGUGUUCCUAGAUUCCUGCCUCUCAAAAACUGUGUGAGAUAAUAGAUGCUUAUUGUUUAAAGUUGUUUAGGGUAACUCAUUGUGUAGCAAUAGAUAGCUGAAACAGGAGGCUCUACAUUUACUCUUUUUUUUUUUUUUUCUUGGAGACAGAGUCUUGCUGUGUCACCCAGGCUGGAGUGCAGUGGGGCAAUCUCCGCUCAUUGCAAUCUGCG